UACGGGGGGGGCAAGCGUUGUUCGGAAUUACUGGGCGUAAAGGGCUCGUAGGCGGCCAACUAAGUCAGACGUGAAAUCCCUCGGCUUAACCGGGGAACUGCAUCUGAUACUGGAUGGCUUGAAUCCGGAAGAGGGAUGCGGAAUUCCAGGUGUAGCGGUGAAAUGCGUAGAUAUCUGGAGGAACACCGGUGGCGAAGGCGGCAUCCUGGGUCGGUAUUGACGCUGAGGAGCGAAAGCCAGGGGAGCAAACGGG
rnacentral:rRNA from 1 species